rnacentral:rRNA from 1 species
AACGCGAAGAACCUUACCAGCGCUUGACAUGCUGGUGGUACCGAACCGAAAGGGGAGGGACUUUGGGGGUAAUUUCGGGGAGCCAGCACAGGUGGUGCAUGGCUGUUGUCAGCUCGUGCCGUGAGGUGUUGGGUUAAGUCCCGCAACGAGCGCAACCCCUACUUCUAGUUGCUACCAGGGGACUGGAGCACUCUAGAGGGACUGCCGGGGAUGACCCGGAGGAAGGUGGGGAUGACGUCAAGUCAUCAUGCCCUUUAUGCCCUGGGCCACACACGUGCUACAAUGGCCGGUACAAAGGGAGGCGAACCUGCGAGGGGGAGCGGAUCCCAAAAAGCGGGUCUCAGUUGGGAUCGCAGGCUGCAACUCGCCUGCGUGAACGCGGAAUCG